rnacentral:rRNA from 1 species
ACUGGGUGUAAAAGGGAGCGCAGACGGCUUAGCAANUCUGAAGUGAAACCCCACGGNUCAACCGUGGGCUUGCUUUGGAAACUGUUUAGCUAGAGUACUGGAGAGGUAAGCGGAAUUCCUAGUGUAGCGGUGAAAUGCGUAGAUAUUAGGAGGAACAUCGGUGGCGAAGGCGGCUUACUGGACAGCAACUGACGUUGAGGCUCGAAGGCGUGGGGAGCAAACAGGAUUAGAUACCCCUGGUAGUCCACGCGGUAAACGAUGAAUACUAGGUGUAGGAGGUAUCGACCCCUUCUGUGCCGGAGUUAACGCAAUAAGUAUCCCCGCCUGGGGAGUACGGUCGCAAGACUGAA